rnacentral:tRNA from 1 species
ACUCCCGUAGGGUAAUCGGUAAUCCUACUGGACUUUGGUAGAGUGUGGGCAAAACUCACAAUUUAGUCUGAACGGGCGGUAACUCCUGUCACACUCUGAAGAAAUCCAGUGACGCAGGUUCAAAUCCUGCCGGGAGAA